rnacentral:rRNA from 1 species
AUUGAACGCUGGCGGCAUGCUUUACACAUGCAAGUCGGACGGCAGCACAGAGAAGCUUGCUUCUUGGGUGGCGAGUGGCGAACGGGUGAGUAACAUAUCGGAACGUACCGGGCAGUGGGGGAUAACUAAUCGAAAGAUUAGCUAAUACCGCAUAUCUUCUGAGGAAGAAAGCAGGGGACCAUUUGGCCUUGCGCUGUUUGAGCGGCCGAUAUCUGAUUAGCUAGUUGGUGGGGUAAAGGCCUACCAAGGCGACGAUCAGUAGCGGGUCUGAGAGGAUGAUCCGCCACACUGGGACUGAGACACGGCCCAGACUCCUACGGGAGGCAGCAGUGGGGAAUUUUGGACAAUGGGGCGCAAGCCUGAUCCAGCCAUGCCCGCGUGUCUGAAAGAAAGGGCCCUUUCGGGUUGUAAAAGG